GGACGCGAGCCUGCUUCCAUCUGACGCUGGACGCUUGUCCCUGCCCCGCGUUGCCUUUUAAAUUUUAGCUCAUUCCGAGACACCUGCCGUCAGACAUUUAUGCAGUGUGUGAUUCUUUCUAAAACAACUCCCUGGAAGAGAGGACAUUUAAUUCAACAAUUUAUUGGCCACCUACUGUGCACCAGGCAGUAAACUUGGAACUGGGGCUACUGGGUUACAGCAGUGACCAAGACAGAGGUCCCUGUUCUUAAGGAGCAAGUGAGGGCAACAGAAAAGAGCAGUCAGCUGUCAUGCGAGGGCACUCAAGCAGCCCUGUGGAAAGCUCUACGUGGUGAGAAACUGAAGCCUCCUGCCAACACCAACAAGGAACUGAGACCUACUUCCAACAGCCAUCUGAGUGAUCCAUCCUGGAAUCAGAUCCUCCAGCCCCAGUCAAGUCUUCAGAUGACUGCAGCCCUGACCAGCAUCUCAACUGCAACCUCGUGAAUGACCCUGAGCCAGAACCAUGCAACUGAACUCUGCCUGGAUUCAUGACCCACAGAAACUGUGAGAUGGUAGCUGUUUGCUUUGUUAAGCCUCUAAGUCUGGAAAGAAUGUCUUAAGCAGUAGCAGACAAUGAACAAAAGAUUAUUAUUUAGCUGUUGAAUUGGAAGAGGAGGGGAAGAAAAAAUUUUCAGAUCACAGAAUAUUCAUCAUGUAAAACUUCAAAAAUUCUGAAAUUUAAGGAAAAAAUAUCAUUUGUUGGG
rnacentral:antisense_RNA from 1 species